UGGGGAAUAUUGGACAAUGGGCGCAAGCCUGAUCCAGCCAUGCCGCGUGAGUGAUGAAGGCCCUAGGGUUGUAAAGCUCUUUCACCGGUGAAGAUAAUGACGGUAACCGGAGAAGAAGCCCCGGCUAACUUCGUGCCAGCAGCCGCGGUAAUACGAAGGGGGCUAGCGUUGUUCGGAUUUACUGGGCGUAAAGCGCACGUAGGCGGACUUUUAAGUCAGGGGUGAAAUCCCGGGGCUCAACCCCGGAACUGCCUUUGAUACUGGAAGUCUUGAGUAUGGUAGAGGUGAGUGGAAUUCCGAGUGUAGAGGUGAAAUGCGUAGAUAUUCGGAGGAACACCAGUGGCGAAGGCGGCUCACUGGACCAUUACUGACGCUGAGGUGCGAAAGCGGGGGGAGAAAACAGG
rnacentral:rRNA from 1 species